rnacentral:rRNA from 1 species
UUGGAGGGCAAGUCUGGUGCCAGCAGCCGCGGUAAUUCCAGCUCCAAUAGCGUAUAUUAAAGUUGUUGCAGUUAAAAAGCUCGUAGUUGAAUUUCGGGGUUAGUAGGUUGGUCAUGCCUCUGGUAUGUACUGGUCUCACUGAUUCCUCCUUCCUGAUGAGCCGUAAUGCCAUUAAUUUGGUGUUGCGGGGAAUUUGGACUGUUACUUUGAAAAGAUUAGAGUGUUUAAAGCAAGCUAACGCUUGAAUACAUUAGCAUGGAAUAAUGAAAUAAGACGUUCGAUCCUAUUUUGUUGGUUUCUAGGAUUGACGUAAUGAUUAAUAGGGAUAGUUGGGGGCAUUAGUAUUCAAUUGUCAGAGGUGAAAUUCUUGGAUUUAUUGAAGACUAACUACUGCGAAAGCAUUUGCCAAGGAUGUUUUCAUUAAUCAAGAACGAAAGUUAGGGGAUCGAGACGAUCAGAUACCGUCGUAGUCUUAACCAUAAACUAUGCCGACUAGGGAUCGGAUGAUGUUAAUUUUUUAAUGACUCAUUCGGCGCCUUACGGGAAAC